rnacentral:lncRNA from 1 species
UGGUAAUCAGGAUGGCAGUGAGGCAGGCACUUGCUUGCAGAAGAACAGGCCUAGUUUUUUAAGAAGCCACAAAAGUGUCUUUGGAUGAUUAGGAUCUAAGGGGCCAACAGCUUUGCAAUAACAGCAUAAAUAUUGUGGGCUGGAUGGACAGGCACCAAAUGGGGACAUUCCAUCCUGCUGUGUGAUGAGAAAGCUGCCACUUUUGAGGCCUUCCAAAACAAAUCAACACUCCAUAUGCCAGAAGGAAAAGCCCAGGAAAGACCUAUUCCAACUGGAGAUGGUGAAUGUCAUUUCUUCAAGAAGCUGAGAUCCAGCUGGUACUGCCAGGUGGAGAGUGAGUUGGGUAGCUGACCUCGGGCAUGGCAGCCUUGGUUUUUGGCCACUUCAUGGGGUGACCUGUUGAGCAAACAGCAGUGGAAUUCUGCAGCUGUGGACCAAGAUGAAUACGAAGGGAGAAUGAAACAAAACUGCUCCGCUUAGGGAACUUGGAAAGGAAAUUGAAAAGGCAAGGCACAGGCUGGAAGAAAAUAUUUGAAAAAGAUUUAUGUGAACUUCUUUCUGGAUUAUACAAAAUAUUUUUAGAUAUUCUUACAACUCUAAAAUAAGAUAACUCCUUAAAAAUCUAAAUUCUACCAAAGGAGAGAUAAAGAUGACGAAUACAUUCAAAGAUGCUGAAAAUCACUUAUUUAUUAUUAGGAAGUUACAAGCUAAAGCAUAAUGAGAUACCACUACAACCUACUAAACUGACUAAAAUUAAUCAGACUAACCAGGUGUUGGCAAGAAACAGGGACACUGAGACUCUCACACUGCUGGAAGGAAUGUAAAAUGCUAAAACUUCUUUGGAAAUGAGUUCAGUAACUUUUUAAACAGUUGAAAAUAGACCUAUCAUGCAAACCAGCAAUCCCACUUCCAGGUAUUUAUACAAGGAAAAUGACAACAUAUGCCCACAUAAAGACUUGUGCACAAAUGACCGUAGCAGCUUUGUGAUAAUUGCUAAAAACUAGAAACUUGUCAAGUGUCCAACAGCUAAGGAAAUAGAGACAAACUACAUAAGUUGCUGAAAAAUCACAGCAAAUAAUUAGCUGAGGAAGAGACUCAAAUCUAUCAGAACUGCUUGACUUUUGAUCCUGAGCUUAUGCGCAUCCAGUGGGCAAGUGAGGGUGCAUGGGUUUGUGAAGACUCCAGCAGUAUGAUUGGGGACACAGGGUCUCCCUAUGUUGCCCAGGCUGGUAUCGAACUCUGUUGCCCAGGCUGGUAUUGAACUCCUGCGCUCAAGUGAUCCUCCUGCCUCAGCCUCCCAAAAUGCUGGGAUUACAGUUGACAUGCAGGCUGGACAUACAGUGGGCCUCGAUUGCUUAGAAGCCAAACUGAACUCACCAAGAAAAGAAGACAGGAGAAACUUCUCAAGAGGAAUAUCUCCAAAUUGCAGGAUCGAAUACCAUAAGAGGAAUUCUGGACUGAAGAGUUAUGAAGUCAUUUCAGACACUUCCAGACAAUUUGUGUUAAUUAAAUUCUCACUGGUUGAGUUCCAUUCUACACUGGAAGAGCAUUUUUCCUGGAAAGGCUCCUCAAAAUGGACACCAUCAAGAGUCACCUCCUCAGUGAAGCCUUCCAUGGUUUCAUACCACCCAUCCCUAUCGGAAUGAAUGUAUCCUUGUUCUCCGUUAUCCCAGUAUUUUGCCUGGGCUUCUGUCACACUACUUUCAAUGUCUAUACCUCAGUUAUCGAAUCGAAAAACAAGAGUCAUCAGUCUCUAAGGUCCUUGCAAGCUUCAAAACUUUAUAUUUUUGUCAAUUACAACUGAAUAAAGCUGAACAACUUAUUAUUUAUGGAUACUUGCUCAAGCACCAUAUAACUCUUUCAGAUAUUUUAAAAGAAUAUGUUUGCAAAAGACUCCAAAUCAAUGUAUUAAAUUGAAAUCCAGUAUCAAAACACCCAUUAAAGUGCUCUUUUGAAAUUGUACAUUUUAUAUCAAUAAAAUUUCAAAAUAUAAAAACCUCUAUUUUACUUGUUGAAUUCUUAGGAAUAAUAACUAAACAGUUUUAAAAUAUUAGUAGAAAGAUGGUGUCUUU